CUCCCCCUUCCUCCUACCAUCUUCCCCGGUGUAACACCGUCGCUCACCACCCCUUGACAACCCCACGACCACCAUUGACUACCCACCUAUCACCCUAACGCCGCCUCUAGAAAUUGUCUCACGGCGGCGGCCGGUAACAAAACCUCCCCAGCUUUACACCAGUAAACCGUCACAACCUCCCCUUUCCCACCCUGUAAUUAGUUCCCGUCGAACAAGCCCCCUCCGUCUCAAAUAUUCAAAAUAAGGUCUUUGGAACCACCGUCUCCGACGACCUUAUUCCAAUCUUCCCCAGCUUUACACCCCAGGGUCAUUAGAACUUCCCCUUCCUCGUUCUGCAUCCCACUUCUUUCGAACACCCCCUCCAUCGUCUCGAAUAUUCGCAGAAAGGACGUCGGAAACCCUAUCUCCGGCAACCCUCGAAACAUAAAUCCCUGAGGCAGCUCGAUCUCCUCUUUCCAACCUUGGGUGUCACACCCUUCAAAUCCAGCCCAUACGUGUCGAAUACUGAUUUAAAGUUCAAGCCCUAAAAACCCAACCCUGUCGGAACUUAGUCAAGCUUCUCCCAGACACUCCUUGACAUUUCCCUUCCCCAACUAUACCACCCACGAACCAAAAACAACCUCAACCACUGAAUAAAUACAGAUCUAAGACCACAUUGGGGUCUCAGAAUCACAAAGCCUUUCUUGAACUCUAAACCGGUUGCACAACAUUGCCAGUUAUCCUAGGAGGUUAAAAACCUCAACAAAAGGGGUCAAGAAUCAUUGAAAUGGUCUAAAAUGGACAUGCAUGAGAAAAAGCUAAGUACUCUGUAUAUCUGCUUCAUUUCUUUAGCUUUUAGAUGUUUGAUUUCCUUUUAAUAGUUGUUUGUUUGUCCAUAAUUUCAUAUGAGAUUGGUUCAGUAGUUGUAUGCCUAUUAGUUUGAACCCCCAUUGUUUUGAUUUCUUCUGAAUAAUUGUUUGCUCGUCCACAACCUUAUAUGAAAUGAGUUCAGUAGUUAUAUGCCUUUGGUUAUUACUAAUUAAAAAAUCUCUUCGUCUUUUGAACAAUUGGAUAUCCCGUUAGUAGAUCUUGAAAGCUUCAUUGUGUUAAUUCUUCAGUAUUGUUAUUUUUAGGGCUCGAUUGACCUCCAUCUUCUGAUCUUUAUUUUUUUAUUCAACGAUUUCUGGUUUGUUUGGUUGUUCAUGUUCCUAAGUAUUUGACUUCCAUAAUAAUUUUGAUUUUUAGUUUAGGUUGAUUUGCUGGGUAGAUCUUUAAUUGCUAAGUGGUAGCCUUUACUUGCUUCCUAAUUUGAUUCAUGAACUAAGUGUCCACUCCCUGCUAUGUUCUUCUUAUUUUCAAGCAUUUCUGAGUACUUUGAUUGAGAGAUUUCUGAAAAGUUAAGUGCUGAUAGAUAUAUGCCUUCUUAUGGUUAUUUUGAUCCUUUGUUUUGAUAGUCCGUAAUAAUGUUUGUGUGCUGAAAGUCUACAUUAAGGCAUUUGUUUUUUUUUAAAAAACUUGGUAGUUUUGGCUGAUUUUAAACCUUGUUAAGCCUGUUAUUCCAAGAUUAAAAUGUGACCCAAACUUGAUUGACCAGGGUCAAUUGUAACUAAACUAGGGU
rnacentral:lncRNA from 1 species